GAAAAUUUUAGCUUUUUUAAUCCUUAAUUAAAUCCUUAAAGUUGACAGAAAUGAACCAAGCUACCAGUUUUUGAGUGCCCGCAAAAGAAAUUUCUUACACACCGAUAAAAUGGAUAAAAAAUUUUCCUAUAAAAUAUGUUCUGGCCCAUCCACUAAAUAUUUUAAAAAAAGUUCUCGCCCAUCCAAAUAUUUCCACAAAAAAAGUGCUUGCCCCGCCCCAUUUUGCACCGGCCCAUCCAUCUGAUAAAUAUUGAACGGUCCCUUAUAUG
rnacentral:lncRNA from 1 species